GUGGGUAACAGCUACUGGUCCUUUUUUUUUCCAGCAUAAAAUAUCCAGAAAUAUUUUCUUUUGUGUUCAGCAUAAGAAAGAAAUCCAAACAGGUUUAUACCAACUUUCAGGUAGGCUAUAAAAAUAAAUGAACUCACACAACAGAAGUCUACGGAAAUUCCCCGGCAGGUUAAAGCGGCGCGUGCGCGCAUGAGCCGCAGACUGACUUGACUCUGGGCUCCUCAGGAAAGAAAGUGUGUCCCUCAGAUCAGGAAGUAGAAAUCUGUGGUGUGAUCCGCGAGCGUCCGCCAAACUCAUCCAAACCAAAAGCAUCAGAGGCGGGCGCCGCUUUAGUCCACGGUUUACACUACAGGACAUAUCACGUAUUCAACAUGUGACAAACGAAUGGAUGGAUGUCAUGCAAUCUGUUCCUGAAGGGGCAUUUUAUGUAUCUUCGGUCCAUGAAGACGUCUUGCGAAUGACACUGCAGCUUUCAGCCUGAAAUAUGUCGUCGUACUGGUACGUCAAAGAGACUGCAGAUCCGGGCGGCAGCACCAGCAGCAUGGAGGAGCAAGCUGGCGUUCCAGAGAUGGGAGCCAAGCAGUCGGCGGUUGGCAGCGUUCCCUUGAGUCAUUCUCCCACUCUGAAGAACAUCCAAGAGGCCUAUACACAAGCCGAGGGCCAGAGG
rnacentral:lncRNA from 1 species